rnacentral:lncRNA from 1 species
CUUCUACAGCCCUUGUCUGCCUUCUCUUAACUGCCUGCAACAGGGUGCCACUCCUGUCCCCAACACCAUCUGAAUCUGGAGGCACUACCCAGCCCUUUUCCUUAUCAGCCCCCUAAAAUAUGGCUGAGUUAACCAGAAAACAGAUUCAAUUACUGUAAAUGAGAUUCCCACAAACAGUGGCUUAAACAAAGCAGAAGUUUAUUUUUAACAGUAAGAAUGUCUGUAAGCAACCAUGAUGACUAGACCUCCUGUGACCGUGUGAUGGGAGCCAGUCUACCUGCCACAGAGUGGGACUUCCUGCCUCUCCUUCUAGGCUUUGGACCCUUACUCUCCCUUGCCUCCCCCAGAUGCGGGCAGUGGGGAGAUCCUGGUUCUUCGAAGGAAAGCUCCACCCACUGUUCCCCAUGGCUCAGGUCUCCCCGCCAGCACAAGGAGAGAAAGUUCAGGCCAGUCCCUCCCUGUCUGCACAGACAGUUCUCAAAUGGAAGCUAUUUCCAUCUUCAAACACAAAAACUGCUGAAGCAAAUACUUAAUAAAUAAAGCCUGGGGCCCUGUGCAGCUGCACAGAUCGCAGCGGGUGUGUGCCCAGUCACUCAGCCGUGUCUGACUCUUUGCAACCCCAUGGGCUGUAGCCCACCAGGCUCCUCUGUCCAAGGGAUUUCCCAGACAAGAAUACCAGAGUGGGUUGCCAUUUCCUCCUCCAGGGGAUCUUCUGACCCAGGGGUCGAAGCUGCAUCUCUUGUGUCUCCUGCAUUAGCAGGCAGGUUCUUUACCCCUGAGCCACCAGAUGAGAGACACACCCACAAAGGCAGCCCUUCUUACCUCCAGCAGCAUGCCAAAAAUUAGAGAUGUAAUGUAGGAGGUGGCAACAUAUACCAUGAAAACAUCUGGGACCGGGUGGUAGCUUUUCUCACUCAGCAACCUACGCAAUUGCAAUAAUAACAGCCAUGUUUAUGGAGUCCUGUCCUUGAACCAGAGACAAGGCUCAGACACCAACUCAUUCAACCAUCACAUCCCUGUCUUAAUGUAAAAGGCAGAAAACUAACAAUCAGAGAGGGUAAGUAACCUGUGCAAGGGCACAUAAGCCCAAGUCAGCCAGAUUGCAGAAUCUACGCCCAGAACCACUGUAGUGGGGUGGCCUCUGGAAAUCUUUCUUUGCUGAAAGCAUGGGGCCAGGUCUAGUUUCCA